AACGUAGGGACCGAGCGUUAUCCGGAUUUACUGGGCGUAAAGCGCGUUCAGGCGGUUUGGCAAGUCGGGCAUGAAAUCUCUCGGCUCAACCGGGAGAGGUUGUCCGAUACUUCCAGACUUGAGGGCAGUAGAGGGUGGUGGAAUUCCGGGUGUAGUGGUGAAAUGCGUAGAUAUCCGGAGGAACACCAGUGGCGAAAGCGGCCACCUGGACUGCACCUGACGCUGACACGCGAAAGCUAGGGGAGCGAACGGG
rnacentral:rRNA from 1 species